AGUGGGGAAUAUUGGACAAUGGGCGCAAGCCUGAUCCAGCCAUGCCGCGUGAGUGAUGAAGGCCUUAGGGUUGUAAAGCUCUUUCGUCAGGGAAGAUAAUGACGGUACCUGAAGAAGAAGCCCCGGCUAACUUCGUGCCAGCAGCCGCGGUAAUACGAAGGGGGCUAGCGUUGCUCGGAAUCACUGGGCGUAAAGCGCACGUAGGCGGCUUUCUAAGUCAGGGGUGAAAUCCUGGAGCUCAACUCCAGAACUGCCUUUGAUACUGGAGAGCUUGAGUUCGGGAGAGGUGAGUGGAACUGCGAGUGUAGAGGUGAAAUUCGUAGAUAUUCGCAAGAACACCAGUGGCGAAGGCGGCUCACUGGCCCGAUACUGACGCUGAGGUGCGAAAGCGUGGGGAGCAAA
rnacentral:rRNA from 1 species